UACGAAGGGGGCUAGCGUUGCUCGGAAUCACUGGGCGUAAAGGGUGCGUAGGCGGGUCUUUAAGUCAGGGGUGAAAUCCUGGAGCUCAACUCCAGAACUGCCUUUGAUACUGAGGAUCUUGAGUUCGGGAGAGGUGAGUGGAACUGCGAGUGUAGAGGUGAAAUGCGUAGAUAUCUGGAGGAACACCGGUGGCGAAGGCGGCAUUCUGGACCGAUAUUGACGCUGAGGAGCGAAAGCCAGGGGAGCAAACGGG
rnacentral:rRNA from 1 species